rnacentral:rRNA from 1 species
CCUACGGGGAGCAGCAGUGGGGGAUAUUGCACAAUGGGGGAAACCCUGAUGCAGCGACGCCGCGUGGGUGAAGAAGUAUUUCGGUAUGUAAAGCCCUAUCAGCAGGGAAGAAAGAAGACGGUACCUGACUAAGAAGCCCCGGCUAACUACGUGCCAGCAGCCGCGGUAAUACGUAGGGGGCGAGCGUUAUCCGGAUUCACUGGGUGUAAAGGGAGCGUAGACGGCCGUGCAAGCCAGGAGUGAAAGCCCGGGGCGCAACCCCGGGACUGCUCUUGGAACUGGGCGGCUGGAGUGCGGGAGGGGCAGGCGGAAUUCCUGGUGUAGCGGUGAAAUGCGUAGAUAUCAGGAGGAACACCGGCGGCGAAGGCGGCCUGCUGGACCGCGACUGACGUUGAGGCUCGAAAGCGUGGGGAGCGAACAGGAUUAGAUACCCUGGUAGUC